GCCUACAUCCCACAGAAAGUACUGGGUAUAGAAAACCCUGGAUGAUGGAAAGUUUUUCUAUGGUUUGAGCUUGAGAAUUUCCACUAUUUCCACCUUCUAUUGUUUUACUUUUUUUCCUCCCUCUCAUAGGAAAAGUGACUUCAGAAUCUUAUCUCCCUAAAGCUCCCCAUGGAUGUUGUUCCUGAUUCAAUCAAAGCUUAUAUUACUGAUCUGGUUUCAGGUGAAUGUGGGCAGUUUUAGUUACCCCCUGGGGUGUUUACAUUUCAAAGACCUGGUGAGAUUCACAUCUUCAAGGGACAGAGAAAGAAUCAAAGUUUUGCCUUCAAGUUUUGGGAUAUAUUUACCUAUGAUCCAAAGUUAAAGGAGAGUUGGAAGAUGAGAAGCUCAGGAGCAGGAACAGGUAACAAUAGAUACCUUUGAGAAGCAGUGCCAGAAAACUAGAGGCAGCCAUGGACGAGGUAAGAUUUGCCUUAGAGAAAGGUAUUGUGGAUUGUUCACAGAACUAAGAAACAAAAAUGUGUACUGUUGGAUGUAAUAAAAGUGGUCCCUGGAACA
rnacentral:lncRNA from 12 species